rnacentral:tRNA from 1 species
UAGGAGGUAGUAUAAUGGUAGUACGCGAGAUUUUGGGUUUCGUAGUACAGGUUCAAGUCCUGUUUUCUAG